rnacentral:rRNA from 1 species
CAGCAGGCGCGCAAAUUACCCACUCCCGAACUGGGGAGGUAGUGACGAGAAUUAUCGGUCUUACUCUUUGAGCAAAAGACCGGAAUGGACGAAAUUCAGGUCCAUUCGUGAAAACUAGCGAGGGGCAAGUCUGGUGCCAGCAGCCGCGGUAAUUCCAGCCUCGCAUGUAAAUGUAAAAUUUGUUGCAUUUAAAAAGCUCGUAGUCGGACAGUUUCACGACAUUUUGUUCAAAGCCAGCUGCAACUCGGCUAGCCAGUUACGAAUGGUUUUGAACUGGUCAAUUAGUCGUUGCAACUGGAUGAAUAGUCGUGGAACAAUCACAAGUUUCGCUUAUACACUUAAUUGUGUGUAGGACUGAAAAUUUGUGGACGUACCUUGAACAAAUCGGUUUGUUCNAAACAGGCCAUAUUGAGCGCCUGGACAUUCGAGCAUGGAAUGAUCGAUCCAGACCUGAUCGUUUGGUCGGAAACGAGUAAGGUCCAGGUCAAGAGGGACAUUUGGGGGCAUACGAACUCGGCAGCGAGAGGUGAAAUUC